GCCAAUGUUUUGAUUUAUACUUGCAUGUGAACAUGUAUCUUACAUGUGUAUUCACUGUAAGAUACAUGUUCACAAGCAAGUAUAAAUAAAAUGUGGU